AUACGGAGGAUGCAAGCGUUAUCCGGAUUUAUUGGGUUUAAAGGGUGCGUAGGCGGGUGAUUAAGCGUGAGGUGAAAUGCCACUGCUCAACAGUGGAACUGCCUCGCGAACUGGUUGUCUUGAAUGCUCCUGCCGUGGGAGGAAUGUGUGGUGUAGCGGUGAAAUGCAUAGAGGUCACACAGAACACCGAUUGCGAAGGCAUCUCACGAAGGGGUGAUUGACGCUGAGGCACGAAAGCGUGGGGAUCAAACAGGAUUAGAUACCCUGGUAGUCCACGCAGUAAACGAUGAUGGCUAACCGCUGGGCUUAUCAGUUCAGUGGCCAAGCGAAAGCGAUAAGCCAUCCACCUGGGGAGUACGACCGCAAGGUUGAAACUCAAAUGAAUUGGCGGGG
rnacentral:rRNA from 1 species